rnacentral:tRNA from 1 species
GGAGGGGUUGCGGAGCGGUCAAACGCAGCAGACUGUAAAUCUGCCCUCUUCGGAGUUCGGUGGUUCGAAUCCACCCCCCUCCACCA